rnacentral:rRNA from 1 species
GACGAACGCUGGCGGCGUGCUUAACACAUGCAAGUCGAACGGAAAGGCCCUGCUUUUGUGGGGUGCUCGAGUGGCGAACGGGUGAGUAACACGUGAGUAACCUGCCCUUGACUUUGGGAUAACUUCAGGAAACUGGGGCUAAUACCGGAUAGGAGCUCCUGCUGCAUGGUGGGGGUUGGAAAGUUUCGGCGGUUGGGGAUGGACUCGCGGCCUAUCAGCUUGUUGGUGGGGUAGUGGCUUACCAAGGCUUUGACGGGUAGCCGGCCUGAGAGGGUGACCGGCCACAUUGGGACUGAGAUACGGCCCAGACUCCUACGGGAGGCAGCAGUGGGGAAUAUUGCACAAUGGGCGGAAGCCGGAUGCAGCAACGCCGCGUGCGGGAUGACGGCCUUCGGGUGGUAAACCGCUUUCGCCUGUGACGAAGCGUGAGUGACGGUAAUGGGUAAAGAAGCACCGGCUAACUACGU